UACUGCCCUCACACGACCAAUAAUAGUUAUUUUGUUUUCUCAAUUCGGCACGCGUAAAUAAUUCGCGAACGGUCGGUUACUGGUUCGCAGCAAACGUCGUUCUCAAGGAUGAUCGAUCUCGCCGCGCAAAGCGCACCAAAUUAACCCUCCGUGGAGAUGAGCCAAGCAUAUGAGGUUGUAGUGUUAUUCACGUCGAUGAGUUGGCCACGUUGCUGCUCUAGACACACGCUCGAACACACACACGUAAGCUAAGUCAUGCCUGAGACCAGCACUAUGGCCAGUUCAAGCCCAAUGAAUCCUAGUGGUGGCAGUGCAUCUAGAUAGGCCUACUCUACCAUGCUGUUUCAACACCUGUGGAUAAGGAGUUCCAUGAACAACAAACCCUUCCCUCUGUUUUAAUUAAAAUCAACCCUGUGGGAACUACCAACGGUUAAGAUGAAUUCUUUGAAGACAGUGACUCGAUUUCCUCUGGAUUGCCUAGCACUCUUGAUGACCUACCGUUUUUUCAAGUUAAAGUAUUGGGCGAUUCCUUCACGAGGUACUUGCCGAGGAACUUAAACAGUGACUGGUUUCUUCCUGAUGUUGUAACCCAGCCAGGAGCAACAUAUUUCUUGCAAAAUCGGAAAAAUUUUCCUUGAAAUGUAGUGUCAUAGAUAUGUAAAUACUUCAACAAAUAAUGACCAUAAAAAAGUUACUUGAUACUUUGUAGGAAACACUGCAGCUGUUGAUAGUUUUGAGAAAAGAUUAUUUUCGAAAUGAUAUGGUUUGGACAAUUGGUCAUCAGAAAAUAUGUGAAGCUGAGAAACAAUUUGAUUCAUGUAUGAAUCGUUCCGCUGUUGCCAGAUAUGUGGUUGGUAGCGCUAAACAUUGAUGAACUCUAUGUUUAUGUGAACAUAUUAUGGUGAUAUUUUUUAAAAUUUGGUUUGGCUGUCACAUAGACAAAAACCAAUCUGUGUCCCUUAAUGUUAUUUGUUAUUUAUUAUAGCAAGGUACAUGGACUUAGGUGUCUGAUUUUUGUGUUUAAGGUACUAUACAGGAUUGGUAGAGCUGACAAAAUAGUAGUAGUGAAUGUGAUGGGAUCAGCUAAUGCCUUUUUUCUUUUUUCUUGAGGUUUUCAGAUUCAGUUUUGUCGAACAUGACUUAAUUUCAGAGGGAAGUUUUUCACAGAAAAGAAUGUCUCUGGUAUGAAUUUCAUUGUCAAAACUGAAAUAAAGCAACAUUUUUGUAUCCUUACCGAUUCUGUGUAAUACAAAAAUGUACCUUGAAGGUAAAAAGCAAUGUUCAUAUGAUUGCUUUACAGGGUUUUCAUUAUUAAUAUUUAACUUAUUUUAUGCAAUACUAAACAUUCCAAAAUGUCCUAACAGUUGUAUUACAAGUUGGAUGUGAUACUACAAAAAGCAAGAAAAUAAGUAUCAAGUGGAAAGUAUUUUAACUUGGGUAAUUAACAGGUCUCCUAAUUACUUGGGUGUCCCUGCAAUUACUUUUAAUUGUACUGCCACAAUACUUGUGUGUAAAUCUUUUAUAUAAUUGUAUUUUUUCUGUUUUAUAUAAUUGUGUGUACAUGGAAAUGUUGGUAACUGUGUGAGACAUUCAUGCUGCUGAAAGAAGAAACCGAAAACAAAUAAAUGUUUCCAUAAAACAGGAAAAA